rnacentral:rRNA from 1 species
CAGCCGUGUCUGUGGGAUUCAGCCGUCUCUGGCGGUGUACUUCCCACAGAUGGGUCAACAUCAGUUUUGGCCGGUGGAUAAUGGCAGGAGGAAAGUGGCACCUUUGGGUGUGUUAUAGCCUCUUGUCACAUACACUGGCUGAGACUGAGGAAUGCAGCUUGCCUUUAUGGCCGGGGUUUNCCAGUUCAAGCUUAGGAUGUUGACUUAAUGGCCUUAAACGCCCGUUUGAAACACGGACCAAGGAGUCUAACAUAUAUGCGAGUGUUU